rnacentral:rRNA from 1 species
AACGCUGGCGGUGCGCCUUAUGCCUGCAGGUCAAGCGAAGCUUUUCAGUAGUUUACUACAGAAAAUGACUGAGCGGCGAACGGGUGAGUAACGCGUGAGCAAUCUACCUUAGUUACAGGGAUAGCCCGAGGAAACUCGGAUUAAUACCUGAUAUUCUUUAUUUCUCGCAUGAGAAUAACAAGGAAAGGUCAGCCGAACUAAGAUGAGCUCGCGUUCUAUCAGCUAGUUGGUGAGGUAAAAGCUUACCAAGGCUACGACGGAUAGCUGGUCUGAGAGGACGAUCAGCCACACUGGGACUGAGACACGGCCCAGACUCCUACGGGAGGCUGCAGCAGGGAAAUAUUGUGCAAUGAACGAAAGUUUGACACAGCGACACCGCGUGUGGGAUGACGGAUCUAGGUUUGUAUACCACUUUCAGGAGGGAAGAAAAUGACGGUACCUCCACAAGAAGCCCCGGACAACUACGUGACCAGCACGCCGCGGUAAUACGUAGGGGCGAGCGUUGUCCGG